CUACGGGUCGCUGCAGUGGGGAAUAUUGCACAAUGGGGGAAACCCUGAUGCAGCAACGCCGCGUGGAGGAUGACACUUUUCGGAGCGUAAACUCCUUUUAUAUACCAAGAUAAUGACGGUAGUAUAUGAAUAAGCACCGGCUAACUCCGUGCCAGCAGCCGCGGUAAUACGGGGGGUGCAAGCGUUACUCGGAAUCACUGGGCGUAAAGGAUGCGUAGGCGGCCUAGCAAGUCAGGUGUGAAAUCCUAUGGCUUAACCAUAGAACUGCACUUGAAACUGCUAGACUAGAGUUCAGAAGGGGCAGGUGGAAUUAGUGGUGUAGGGGUAAAAUCCGUAGAGAUCAGAAGGAAUACCGAUUGCGAAGGCGAUCUACUAGAACAUUAUUGACGCUGAGACGCGAAAGCGUGGGGAGCAAACAGGAUUAGAUACCCGGGUAGUC
rnacentral:rRNA from 1 species